AACAUGAACCUCAUGCCUCGAUGAAGUGAGGGUUCGAGUCUAUCGUAUAUUGCCUAUCCUAGGUUUCCUGAAUAUUUCAGUGAAUUUUAAUAGUUAUUGGAACGGGGAGGCAUUAAUAAGAGGAAAGAAAAUGAAAAAAAAAAUCAUCAAUAAUUUCUCCAUCUUCACGAGUUUGCAGAUAAACUGAAGAAAAAUAUAUGAAAAUUGUCUGUAAAUAUUUGAAAAAUCGACAUUUACAACUUUCAAUCGAAUUAGAAUAUCGGGGAAAAUGUAAAAGAUCUAGUGUAACAUUCAUGACAGUGUAAAUAACCCAUUAGACGUGUUACAUAAUUGCAAACAAAUAAAAAAAGCAGUCUCCAAAUUCCCGGGAAUAAUUAAAUAUUAUUUGUUCAAGUAUCACAUGAGUCGGGAUUUUCAUAAACUGGCAGGGACCAGGGGGAAGGAAGGGGAAAGCCGUUGUCACGAAAAAGGAGAGGGAAACUUAAGAAUUUAUGAGGGAAUUAUACGGCAAAGGGAGCGCGUGUAGUGAUCUUUGUUUCCAAUUUUUACCAAUCACUCAUUGUCCAAUACACGAUCUAUGACAUUUGCAAAAAUACAAAUUCUGCUUCAAUGCUCUCCAGGAGUGAAGAACUCAUCAAAAUUCAAGCUCAGUAUUUUGAGAAGGACAGCAAGGUCAAUGAUGCAGUGACAAUGGUAAAUAUAUC